rnacentral:sRNA from 1 species
UUCUUCUCCUCUUCACUACAGUCUUCAGCUACUGUAGUUUCAUCAGCCAGUCUCCAAUCU